GAUUCAGUUGCCUAGUGCUUAGAGCGUCCGCCUAGGAUGUGGGAGAUCGCGGGUUCGAACCACGGCCGAGUCU